UCCUUUAUUUAUCUGAUUUGGAUUG
rnacentral:miRNA from 1 species